rnacentral:rRNA from 1 species
UACGGAGGGGGGCUAGCGUUGUUCGGAAUUACUGGGCGUAAAGCGUACGUAGGCGGCUUUGUAAGUUAGAGGUGAAAGCCCGGGGCUCAACCCCGGAAUUGCCUUUAAGACUGCAUCGCUUGAAUCAUGGAGAGGUGAGUGGAAUUCCGAGUGUAGAGGUGAAAUUCGUAGAUAUUCGGAAGAAACACCAGUGGGCGAAGG